rnacentral:rRNA from 1 species
UACGUAGGGGGCAAGCGUUGUCCGGAAUCAUUGGGCGUAAAGAGCGCGUAGGCGGCCCUGUAAGUCCGCUGUGAAAGUCAAGGGCUCAACCCUUGAAUGCCGGUGGAUACUGCAGGGCUAGAGUCCGGAAGAGGCGAGUGGAAUUCCUGGUGUAGCGGUGAAAUGCGCAGAUAUCAGGAGGAACACCGAUGGCGAAGGCAGCUCGCUGGGACGGUACUGGACGCUGAGGCGCGAAAGCGUGGGGAGCAAACAGG